AGUAAUUCCCUGCAUAUAUAAACCAGGCACUAAUGCAUACUACGGCAGAUUUCAAAGGCAGGAUCAUACCAUGUGGAAAGGUUUAAGGAACACUGGAAGCAUCUGCAUGGAUGGGGCUGGCAACCAGACAAAAAGACGGAGGGACCUCAGCACAGCUUUGUUUAGGACAGACUCCAACAUUUACAUUCUUCAGUAUUUUUGCCUUGAUUGA
rnacentral:lncRNA from 1 species